AGUAAAUGUACCAUAAAUAUAAUACUACAAAAGCUGGGGAUCGACAUGUUGCACCCAAGAUGUUUCAAAGAAUUGUUACAAAGACAGACAUUUUCAUUCCUAUUGGAACAAGUAAGUAGAUAAUAUUUACCUAAUACAUUUUUUUCUGUAAAAAAGAUACAGUGAUCAUAAAUGCGCUUAUAAGACCAAAAAGUAAACAAAUGCAGCUGUCAGGUACCCCUCC
rnacentral:lncRNA from 1 species